rnacentral:tRNA from 1 species
GGAGGGGUGCCAGAGUGGUUGAAUGGGCUUCUCUCGAAAAGAAGUAGGGUCUUUACAGGUCCUCGUGGGUUCGAAUCCCACCCCCUCCGCCA